rnacentral:misc_RNA from 1 species
GUUGAGUUGAGUAUAUAUUAUGUUAAAAAAUUAUCAUGUUAAAUUAAUAUUUUAAAUUUUUUUUAUAGACAUAUUAUGUUAAGUAAAAUUUAAAAAUAAAAGAAGUAUUUCAAAUCGACGUUUCAAUUAAACAUGCUGGAAAUCCAAUUGGCAUACGAACUAAGCCUACUCCUAUGUACCCUAUAUUUUGUUAAGUGGCGUACCAUGUACCAUGUACCUGUACCCAUACCCAUACCCAUACCCAUACCCAUACCCAUACCCA